CAGGCCCAGGCAGGGGCCCAGCCAGCCACCAGGGAGCACGGGUCUGAAGGGUCCAGAGCCAGGAGGAGCCAGGUCCUGGGAAGCUCUGCCAAUGGAGGGACUGGUACCAAACAUGGAGACGGGGAUGCUCCUUCCUCCAGUCUUGUCAGCUCCACUCAGCUCAGGAGCCCUGCAGAGCACAGGGACACAGGUGUUUCCAGACCUAACUCUGCAGUGGCUUGUCUCACCCCCUCAGGCUCUCCUGAGAACAUGGCAAUGGGCAGAGAGAACUCCCGCUCCAAGUCAACCCUGCUUCAGAGCACAGGCCUUCGACCCUGUAACUGCCCUGCUGCAGCCAUACAGCCAGCCACACAGACCUUCCCACUCUGUAUUCCUGCAUCCUGUCCCAGGGCAGCUCUGGGCUCUGUCUGGUGAUUCCCAUAGUCACCCAUCUGAAGUAGCUGAUCUGUACCGACUCCAAGGCAGCCAGAGGAAGCUGCUUGCUUUGAACCCAGUAUGGAGAGCAACAAGAACGCUAUCCCUUACUUCCUGUGAAAACAGUCCUGUGGGUUCAUGACUCAAUUUCAGGGUCUAUAGCAAGGGUCUGUGCAGACUGAUCCUGGUUCCCAGAAACCAAUGCGACUGCUCUCCCUCAGGGACCCAGUCUCUACUCUGCCUCCUCACACUCAGCAGAAGUGGAGAGUUUGGCUCUGCUUUGCCUUCAGUGGGGGAGUUCAGACUAGACAACCCAUGGUUUGGAGACAACUGUUGCACUGUUUUACCUGAAUGAAGAUUAUCUUAAGUUAAUAUUGAAGGAAAUAAAAAAAUGGUCAAUUUAAAA